CCUGCCCGUUUAUUGUUUUGGUUCCUGCCUCCUCCUGUGAGUGAGUUUUUGUUAUUAAAUCCUUUUUUCACCUACCGUCAUGCUGCCUGCUGGUUUGCAUUCUGGGUUUGUCCGUUGUUCAAGUCCUGACAAAAUAAGAUCCAGUGCACCCAUUGUCCCUCAGAGUCCAUCUAUGAGUUAUCCUCAGUAUCUAUCCUUCUGUUCUGUGAAGACCUCGGAGGUUUGUUAAAGAACAAUAGUGAACAAACAACAUCAUGAGGACCAAGGAACACACCAGAGAGGUCAUGAAGAAAUAUAAAGAGACGUUUACAGAGAAAGUGUAUGGCACAACUGCAAACCUCCCUAGACAAGACGAUGCACCUAAACUGACAGGCCGGACAAGGAAAGCAUUAUUCAAAGAAGCAGCAAAGUGGCCCAUAGCGACUCUGGAGGAUCUGCGGAGAUUCACAACUAAGUAAAGACGGUGACCCUGUAGCAUGCAGAGAGACUGCAGCACAGAUGAAUCUGGCUCAGGAGAAGGAGAACCCUGUUGUGUCUGCCGAGGACUGUGGCGCAGACUGCAGAUGGGAUGAAAUGUGGCACAGCUUUCCAUUUUUUAACAGGAUGUGACACUGCUGCGCUGCCUCCAUUCCACGCUUUUUUAAAAGCCAGCAGUGUGAAAAAUCUUUGUGGAUGAGUGGGGUAAUAAUGCAAAUCUACCUGACUUGCUUGUCACCAUCUGGAUCCGUUGAACAGCAAAUGUAUUUGUUAGGUAUGACUGGAGAUGGAAAGUGCCUAGCUUAAUUAAAAUCCUAAAAAUACA